CGAAAGCCUGACGGAGCAAUACCGCGUGAGGGAGGAAGGCUCUUGGGUCGUAAACCUCUUUUCUCAGGGAAGAAAAAAAUGACGGUACCUGAGGAAUAAGCAUCGGCUAACUCCGUGCCAGCAGCCGCGGUAAUACGGAGGAUGCAAGCGUUAUCCGGAAUGAUUGGGCGUAAAGGGUCCGCAGGUGGUACUGUAAGUCUGCUGUUAAAGAGCAAGGCUCAACCUUGUAAAAGCAGUGGAAACUACAGAACUAGAGUGCGUUCGGGGCAGAAGGAAUUCCUGGUGUAGCGGUGAAAUGCGUAGAUAUCAGGAAGAACACCGGUGGCGAAAGCGUUCUGCUAGGCCGUAACUGACACUGAGGGACGAAAGCUAGGGGAGCGAAUGGGAUUAGAUACCCCAGUAGUCCUAGCCGUAAACGAUGGAUACUAGGCGUGGCUUGUAUCGACCCGAGCCGUGCCGGAGCUAACGCGUUAAGUAUCCCGCCUGGGGAGUACGCACGCAAGUGUGAAACUCAAAGGAAUUGACGGGGGCCCGCACAAGCGGUGGAGUAUGUGGUUUAAUUCGAUGCAACGCGAAGAACCUUACCAAGACUUGACAUCCUGCGAAUCUUUGGGAAACUGAAGAGUGCCUUCGGGAGCGCAGAGACAGGUGGUGCAUGGCUGUCGUCAGCUCGUGUCGUGAGAUGUUGGGUUAAGUCCCGCAACGAGCGCAACCCUCGUUUUUAGUUGCCAGCAUUAAGUUGGGCACUCUAGAGAGACUGCCGGUGACAAACCGGAGGAAGGUGAGGAUGACGUCAAGUCAGCAUGCCCCUU
rnacentral:rRNA from 1 species